UAUACGACUCUCGGCAACGGAUAUCUCGACUCUUGUAUCGAUGAAGAACGUAGCAAAAUGUGAUACUUGGUGUGAAUUGCAGAAUCCCGUGAACCAUCGAGUCUUUGAACGCAAGUUGCGCCCGAGGCCUUUCGGUUGAGGGCACGCCUGCCUGGGCGUCACGC
rnacentral:rRNA from 1 species